GACGAACCGUGCGAACGUUGUUCGGAAUCACUGGGCUUAAAGGGCGCGUAGGCGGUCUGCCAAGUCCGGGGGUGAAAGCCCCCAGCUCAACUGGGGGAAGUGCCUUGGAUACUGGCGGACUUGAGGGAGGCAGGGGUUGUGGGAACUUCCGGUGGAGCGGUGAAAUGCGUUGAUAUCGGAAGGAACGCCGGUGGCGAAAGCGCACAACUGGUCCUCUUCUGACGCUGAGGCGCGAAAGCCAGGGGAGCAAACGGG
rnacentral:rRNA from 1 species